AUAUUAUUACCGGAAGGAAAAGAAACUAACUAGGAUUCCUUAGUAGCGGCGAGCGAGGCGGGAAGAGCUCAGGUUUUAAAUCUGGUAGCGACAGCUAUUCAGAAUUGUAGUCUUGUGAGUAUACAUCGGGAAAGCCACCAGCAUAAGUCCUUUGGAACGAGGCGCCAUAGAGGGUGAGAGCCCCGUGCAUGGUUGGAUGGCCGUACCAACGUUGUGUGCUCUUAGAGUCGGGUUGUUUGGGAAUGCAGCCUUAAGCGGGUGGUAAAUUCCAUCUAAAGCUAAAUAUUACAGCGAGACCGAUAGCGCACAAGUA
rnacentral:rRNA from 1 species